UGGGGAAUCUUGCACAAUGGGGGAAACCCUGAUGCAGCGACGCCGCGUGAACGAUGAAGCCCUUCGGGGUGUAAAGUUCUUUCGACAGGAACGAUAAUGACGGUACCUGGAGAAGAAGCUGCGGCUAACUACGUGCCAGCAGCCGCGGUAAUACGUAGGCAGCGAGCGUUGUUCGGAGUUACUGGGCGUAAAGAGUGCGUAGGCGGCGAGCCAAGUUUGGUGUGAAAUCUCCCGGCUUAACCGGGAGGGUGCGCCGAAAACUGGUUGGCUGGAGUAUGGGAGAGGAAAGCUGAAUUCCUGGUGUAGCGGUGAAAUGCGUAGAUAUCAGGAGGAACACCUGCGGUGUAGACAGCUUUCUGGACCAAAACUGACGCUGAGGCACGAAAGCGUGGGGAGCAAACA
rnacentral:rRNA from 1 species